rfam:Xenopus tropicalis strain Nigerian Chr04_contig_1302, whole genome shotgun sequence.
GGCUCCAUAGCUCAGUGGUUAGCACGCUGGUCUUGUAAACCAGGGGUUGCGAGUUCAACUUUUGCUGGAGCCU